rnacentral:rRNA from 1 species
GUGGUAAAGGCGCACCAAGGCGACGAUCCUUAGCUGGUCUGAGAGGAUGAUCAGCCACACUGGGACUGAGACACGGCCCAGACUCCUACGGGAGGCAGCAGUGGGGAAUAUUGGACAAUGGGCGAAAGCCUGAUCCAGCAAUGCCGCGUGAGUGAUGAAGGCCUUAGGGUUGUAAAGCUCUUUUACCCGGGAAGAUAAUGACUGUACCGGGAGAAUAAGCCCCGGCUAACUCCGUGCCAGCAGCCGCGGUAAUACGGAGGGGGCUAGCGUUGUUCGGAAUUACUGGGCGUAAAGCGCACGUAGGCGGCUUUGUAAGUCAGAGGUGAAAGCCUGGAGCUCAACUCCAGAACUGCCUUUGAGACUGCAUCGCUUGAAUCCAGGAGAGGUGAGUGGAAUUCCGAGUGUAGAGGUGAAAUUCGUAGAUAUUCGGAAGAACACCAGUGGCGAAGGCGGCUCACUGGACUGGUAUUGACGCUGAGGUGCGAAAGCGUGGGGAG